UAGUGACACCAUAGUCAACUACAUUAAUUAAGUGUUUGUUUUACAAAAAUAAGAUAUAACAUUUAUAAACACCAAUGCAGGAGACAUACGUGGACAUACGGACUGCAUAUGUCGUGGGUACAUUCAUUCUUUAUUUAUUGACAUACCUCACAAGAGAGAUGAAUACGUCAGCAUUGAAUACGAACGAUACGAGUGUUCAAGCUGAUAAUACAAGUCGGAAGAACUUAACAAAACUACACCCGAAAAGAAAUCUUUGUAGCGAUAAUGGCGGCAAUCUUAUGGAUAUCGGGGACGUUUCUCUCUGCCCGUGGACGAUGAUUAUUGAGGAAAACCGAUUUCGACAGCCAAUAAGAAUAAAACAAGCAGAAUGCAUGUUUGAACGCCCCCUUGUGGUCGCAGGCCUGGUCUGUCGCCCUGUUUAUAGGGAUACUGAGGUGACAGUUUUGAACAAAAAGACCAUAGAGCGAGUUCCUGUGGCAUGUAUUGCUGUUCCAAUAUGUGACUGAAACUGAUGAUGUAUUAGCGGAUUUCAAGUUACUGUAUCCAUGUACAUAAAUGAUAUAAAUUAGUGAUAACUUAUC